rnacentral:lncRNA from 1 species
UUUUAUACAUUUGACACGUCAUGACAAGCGUCAGCAUGGUACACUUGGCCUCAUUUUAUACAAUCCAUAACCAUCCCCAAAUUCUCAUCUAACGGUGUACAUUUCAUCUUCCAUCUCCACUUAGGGUUUCUUUUAUGGCACGCAAUUUCAUAUAUAAACCUUGCAGUUUCUUUCUUUGUCAAGUCUAGUGCAGUGCAGUUCUCCUUCCCUCCUAAGGAAAGGAAAAAAAAAAAAAAAAAAAAAAAAN